ensembl:lncRNA
GGCUGCCAUUAGCACCUACGUCUAAUUUAAGGCAAAUACGCAUUAGAACCUAAUGCUCAUAUCGUUUUCCUUUGCUUUAUAACAAUGUGAGCAGCUACUGCUAAAUAGCAUUAGCUAAUAACAGCAGUCUAAUUUAAUGCAAGUUAGCCUCAUUUGCAUUACAACGAUGUGAGGAGUUAACGCUAAGUAUGCUGCCAUUAGUGGCUAAUUCUAAUUAGGGGUGAAUAAAUAUUACCAGCUAAUGCUAAUAUCGUAUUCUCUUCCCUUUUAACAAUGUGAGCAGCUAGUGCUAGGUAGGCUGAUGCUAGCAGCUAAUGCUAAAGCUAAUUUAAUGUGAAUUAGCAUCACAUUAGUGAGGAGUUAAUGCUAAGUAGACUGCCAUUAGCAGGUAAUGCUAAUUUUAGGUGAAUAGGAAUUGGCAGAUAAUGCUAAUACCAUAUUUUCUUGCUUUAUAACAAUGUGACCAGCUAAUGCUAUGUAGGUUGCCGUUAUUAGCUAAUACUAAUUUGAGGUGAAUUAGCAUUAUCCCCUUAUGCUAACAAUGUUUUUUCUUACUUUUUAACAAUACAAGUAGCUAAUGUGAACACUUUUUUUUUUAUUGAAUUCUAAUUUUUCCCUUGCGAUGUGAAGAGUUAAUGCUAAAUAGGAUGCCAUUAGUGGCUAAUUCUAAUUUUAGAUGAGAAAGCAUUAGAAGCUAAUGCUAAUACCAUAUUUUCUUGCUUUAUAUCAAUAUUAGUAGCUAAUGCUAAGAAGGCUGCCAUUAUUAGGUAAUGCUAAUUAUUAUGUGUGUUAGCAUUAUCCGCUGCUGCUAGCAAUGUUUUAUCUUACCUUUUAACAAUAUCAGCAGCUAAUGCUAACACUACUUUAAUUUCAGUUAAACCUACUUAGCAUUAAUUAACUUCAUUUAGCAUUAAGAAGUUUUUGCUAUAGGCUACCAUUAGUGGCUAAUGCUAAUUUUAGGUAAAUAGAAAUUGGCAGCUAAUGCUAAUACCAUAUUUUCUUGCCUUAUAACAAUGUGACCAGCUAAUGCUAAGCAGGUGCCAUUAUUAGCUAAUACUAAUUUGAGAUGAAU